rnacentral:rRNA from 1 species
GUACACACCGCCCGUCACACCACGAAGGCUGGUUGAACCAGAAGUCAAUGACCCAACCUUCGGGAGGGAAUUGCCCAAGGUAUGACUGGUGAUUGGGGUGAAGUCGUAACAAGGUAGCCGUAGGUGAACCUGCAGAAGGAUCA